UGGGGAAUAUUGGACAAUGGGCGCAAGCCUGAUCCAGCAAUGCCGCGUGAGUGAAGAAGGUCUUCGGAUUGUAAAGCUCUUUCGACGGGGACGAUGAUGACGGUACCCGUAGAAGAAGCCCCGGCUAACUUCGUGCCAGCAGCCGCGGUAAUACGAAGGGGGCUAGCGUUGCUCGGAAUGACUGGGCGUAAAGGGCGCGUAGGCGGUGAACACAGUUAGACGUGAAAUUCCCGGGCUCAACCUGGGGGCUGCGUUUAAUACAUGUUCGCUUGAGUUCGGAAGAGGGUCGUGGAAUUCCCAGUGUAGAGGUGAAAUUCGUAGAUAUUGGGAAGAACACCGGUGGCGAAGGCGGCGACCUGGUCCGAUACUGACGCUGAGGCGCGAAAGCGUGGGGAGCAAACAG
rnacentral:rRNA from 1 species